rnacentral:rRNA from 1 species
CCCGGGUGGCUGCAGUGAGGAAUAUUGGUCAAUGGGCGCGAGCCUGAACCAGCCAAGUAGCGUGAAGGAUGACUGCCCUACGGGUUGUAAACUUCUUUUAUAAAGGAAUAAAGUGAGGCACGUGUGCCUUUUUGUAUGUACUUUAUGAAUAAGGAUCGGCUCACUCCGUGCCAGCAGCCGCGGUAAUACGGAGGAUCCGAGCGUUAUCCGGAUUUAUUGGGUUUAAAGGGAGCGUAGGUGGAUUGUUAAGUCAGUUGUGAAAGUUUGCGGCUCAACCGUAAAAUUGCAGUUGAAACUGGCAGUCUUGAGUACAGGAGAGGUGGGCGGAAUUCGUGGUGUAGCGGUGAAAUGCUUAGAUAUCACGAAGAACUCCGAUUGCGAAGGCAGCUCACUGGACUGCAACUGACACUGAGGCUCGAAAGUGUGGGUAUCAAACAGGAUUAGAUACCCCAGUAGUC